GAUGAACGCUGGCGGCGUGCCUAAUACAUGCAAGUCGAGCGAACAGACGAGGGGCUUCCUCCCCUGACGUUUUCGGCGGACGGGUGUGUAACACGUGGAUCACCUCCCUAUACGACUGGUAUAACUUCGGGACACCGGAUCUUAUCCCGUAACAUUUGUUGAACCGUGUGGUUCACUAGUGAAGUACGGUUUUGCCGCCACUUAUAGGUGGUUCGUCGUGGCAUUAGUUAGUUGGUAAGGUAACGGCUUACCAAGGCAACGAUGCGUAGCCGACCGGAGGGGGGGACGGGCCACACUGGAACUGAGACACGGUCCAGACGCCUACGGGAGGAAGCAGAAGGGAAUCUCCCGCAAUGGGGGAAAGCCUGCCGGAGCAACGCCGCGGGAGGGAGGAGGGUCUUCGGAUCGUAAAACCCUGUGAUUAGGGAAGAACAAAGGGGGAAGGAACUAUGCACGUCGUGACGGUACCUAAUCAGAAAGCCACGGCUAACUACGUG
rnacentral:rRNA from 1 species